rnacentral:rRNA from 1 species
UAGAGGCAAACGGGUGGAUCCGCAGUCGGCCCGGGGAAUUCAGCGCAGCAGGCUUGGGCCACCGCGUACGCAGAGCUUCAACUCUCGGUGCGCUCCUCGCAGGCAGCGUGCACUUUCUCCGGCGUCGAGAGCCACGACCGGUUUCUGCGGCAGUCAGGAGACCAGGUAGCUGAGGCGCAAGGGGCGAGUGUUACAGGUCGCCGAGGUGGACAUGUCGCGAGACCGAGCUUGCCACGUUCAGCAGCUUCGGGCCGUCUGGGCGCAUUCAACUUGGGCUCACUGUCUCGGCAGUGUGCUCAGACCGCGUGCCCGGACGGACUCGUCACGCCGCGAACGUCUCGGGUCAGUGGCGAAUCGGUCGGUCCUCCACCCGACCCGUCUUGAAACACGGACCAAGGAGUCUAGCAUGUGCGCGAGUCAUGGGGCACGAAACCCAAAGGCGCAACGAAAGUGAAGGCCGCCUCCGGCUGGCCUAGGCAGGAUCCCGUCCCGUUCGCGGGGCGGGCGCACUGCCGGCCCGUCUCGACGGCAUCGCCCGCGAGGCGGAGCAAGAGCGCACACGCUGGGACCCGAAAGAUGGUGAACUAUGCUUGAGUAGGACGAAGUCAGAGGAAACUCUGAUGGAGGUCCGCAGCGAUUCUGACGUGCAAAUCGAUCGUCAAACUUGGGUAUAGGGGCGAAAGACUA